CGCGCCGGGGCGCAGCCGGGAGGCGAGCAGCCGCCAGCUCGGUCUCCCAGCCGCCGCGCGAGGGACGCUGCGUGUCUGCCCGGUCGCCUGGCCCUGCUCCGAAGUGGCGGGAAGGCGCCGCGGCUGGCGGAAGAGACGCUGCCUGUGGGGUUGCUGUGUUGUUGUUUUUUGGCGCGCGUUUUGGGAAGGCGCCGCUUCCGACGGGGAGACGGGAUAAAUAAAAGAAGGAGGCUGGUGUCCCCGGGUCGCCCUCGUGCCAGCCUCGCAGAGAAGGAAGGAAGGGACUCUUCGCAGGACGGCUUCAGGAGGAGCGGCAGGUAACAACACCCUCCACUUCUUGUGACCCCGAGGCACAUUUCGCUCUUCUUAUAACAGGGCAGUCCGAAGCACGGAAUACGAGAGAGUAAACCCCCCUGGGUUAAGAGGACGCCUACUUCUGAGUAAACGUGUUUAUAGGGUUGCACCGCACGCGUGUUGCAUGCAUCCUGACGGUGCCUUGCCUUUUCUGCACCCUCCCUCUCUUUCAACCCUUCACACACACACGCAUCUCAGCUGCAUACACAGCUGUCCCUCGUUAUUCAGCAGUCCCACAGAUGGCUUGUUUUAUAUUACAGAGCCAUAGCUACGCGGGUGGGGGGCUAGCUGUGUUUUAUGCCCCAUGUGAAGCUUCCAGAGGGGGCGCCAUUGAGGCUUCCAACCUCUGUUUGCGUGUGUGCACAAAUGUCAAACUGGCUCUUUGACCUGAGUGAAAUAAAGCCUAGUUUUGCCCCUGUUUAUUAUAUAUAUAUUAUCCCACCCUUCUUCUGGGGAGCUUAUUAUAUUUUACUUUCCCCACCUUGCUAUUUUAUCCUUCAUGUUGAGGUAUAUGGACUAUUUCUAAACAUUCAGAUGAUGCUCCUUGGGCAUACUAUACAGUGGUACCUCAGGUUAAGUACUUAAUUCGUUCCGGAGGUCCGUUCUUAACUUGAAACUGUUCUUAACCUGAAGCACCACUUUAGCUAAUGGGGCCUCCUGCUGCCACUGCGCCGCCGCUGCACGAUUUCUGUUCUCAUCCUGAAGCAAAGUUCUUAACCUGAAGCACUAUUUCUGGGUUAGCGGAGUCUGUAACCUGAAGCGUAUGUAACCUGAAGCGUAUGCAACCCAAGGUACCACUGUACGUCGAGUUCUCCCCACUCCACUUCCCAAUAUCCCUUGACCAUUCACACUAAUCACUACAGAAUUAUCAUUUUCCCCCUGGCUUAGAAUCUAAACAUUCAUCUUCCCUUUGGAAGCAAUCAUGCCUCAAGUGUGCAGUGUUUCUACACCAUGUCCGGAAUAUGAGGAGACACAGAAUCUGAAUGCCUGAUUCCGUUGAUUGAAAUAAUUUGACAGAUGAGCUUCUUGAGUUUAGCAGAUCACUUGGCGCAAGUAUUGUGUGGCCCCCAUCCUCGUAUUUGUUGCACCCAGCAACAAAAACACAAGCUGAUUCCCACAACACACAUUCUGCCAUUUGUUACAUGCAUACAGCUUGUUUCCCUUGACUCAUCAACUGAAUAUGAUUUGGGUGUUCUAUAACAUGCAUUUUAGUGAAUUUAGUAAUUUUCUUUGCUGCUGUUGUUUUUUUAAGUGUCGUCCAUUUUGCCCAACAGAGUUGGGUAAAAUGAAAUUUGUGCCCAUGGUAUUUGAAUCAUGAAUGUAAUGGUUAGAAGUAAUCACUGGACGUUGCAGCCUUUGAGUAAUGACAUGUGGGAACUCACCCAUACUGCCAGAGCAAGACGGAAUCAAAUGUCGUUGGGGCAGUAGCUGAAAUCAGCACUGGUAUGUCUGUUCUGAGGCAGUGGCAAGGAGGUCUUGCAGAAUUUUUGAAUUUAGGGGAUGCUGUUUUUAAGCACUACUUUUAUAAGCGUCUGAACAUUCCAUUUUCAUAUUCUCACAGCUCUCAUAUAUUAGAAUGUUAAGAUUUAUUGCUAUGCAAGCAUGUCAUAAAGAUUUGAUCCUAUCAGGUGAUCUGGAUAUAUUUCUGUGGUGUUGCUUUGAGUGAACUACUUUACAUAUCCUAAUAAGCAUCUCUUUCAUCUUUUCAGGGCUGAGUCUUCAAUCAAAUAUUUGUUUGCCUGGUUCAAGAUGUGAACUGUUCACCCAUCCACAAUGCUCACAGAUUACGAUUUAAUUCCAGCUCUAGCGUUUUCUUGGACAGGCUAGGUAUAUUCAGCUGCAAAUAUCUUGCAUUCAAAAAUGCCUUGUCUCAUAUCCAUCACUUCUUUCUAAAUCAUGUUUUCAAACUCACGUUGCCUAUGUCUUAUGUGUAGGGCUGAAUAUCAGGUCGCAUACCAUGAGCAAAGAGAUCAUGGUGGGGAGAUAGAAUUGCCUUGGUAAAACUAGCCUAAAAUAGUCAAGCCAUGCCAGAAAAUAAUGUGGGGUCCUAUUGAACUCACAUCUGCAUUCAAACAGUCAUGGAAUUAGCAUGUGUCCUAAACUUAAUUUAUUUUUGCCACAAAGUCUUCUACUGAACACGCUUCAAAUAGUAAUUUAAAGAUUAUCUACCUUAGGUAGGUGGCACAAACUGGCAUGGUUUCUAUUCGUAGGUGAUAUUUAGCCAGAAUAUAACCUCAGGCCAUUCAAAACAAAAACAGGAAUUACCCAGAAAUUCCUUUUUUCCUAAACUUACUGUUGCAUUUUUCAAUGCUUCGUAACAAUGUAUAAUCACCCCAUUGUUACCUGAAUUGCAGGGGAGCAAUUAUCCUCAUAUUUUUAGCAAUCUAUAAUGAAACAUUUAAUUGUAUCAGAAAAAGCUGGCUAUUCUACAGCAUGUAGCUGCAUUGUCAUAUUAAAGGCCUGAAACACUCAAU